rnacentral:lncRNA from 1 species
GGUUCCAUCCCAGACUCCAGUCAGUCUCCCUGCAGCUUCAAGUGGCAUCAAAGAGGGUUCUUGCUCUGGGAAAAGCAGCAAGAGACAUCUCUGAAUCAGACUUGGUCCAAAACCAGGAGUCUGUAUUCUGUCCAAAACCAGAAAUCUGUGACUUCUCCUGAUCCCUCUGUAGCAGUCAUGUGACAAGAUCGUUCUGGAGACUGGGAAGUGCAAGAUCAAGGCACCAGCAGAUUUCACAUCAGGUGAGGCUUGCUCUCUGCUUCCAAUAUGCAUCCCCAUAUGGCAGAAGGCUCAAACACUGUGUGCUCAUAUGGCAAAAGGAACAUAAGGGCAAAAAGGGCAAAAAGAACUAACAGAUUCCCUCAUGCCUUUUUACAAUGAUACUAAUUCAAUUCAUAAGGGCAAAGUCCUCACAACCUAAUAACCACCUAAAGGCCCCACCUCUUAAUACUAUUGCAUUAAGUUUCAAUAUGAAUUUUGGAGAGACACAUUCAAACCAUAGCUUAAUUUAGUUUAUUUAGUCUUUCAAAUCACUGACAUAAAGGUAAACUACUAUAAGCUCGUGAUUUUUAAGCUUGUUUCCCAAACUAUAAAAAUUAUGUUGCCAUUACUUAAGAUUUAUGAAGCUCCUAAUUGAUCGUGUGCCUCUAGAAUAACCAAUUUACAGAUACUUGGAUUAAUGAGUACAUAUCCAACAAUUUCAACAAUUUCAUCGUUUUUCUUCUGUUUUAAUCAUUUGCUGUACUCCUUUUGUCUUUUUUUCAGGGUAUGAGUAUGUGUAUUUGGUAGUUUUCUUAGUUACAAUACAAAUACUUGCCACAAUGGGUAUGAACUAUAAAGUGAGAUCUGUGACUAGCUUA